UACGUAGGGCGCAAGCGUUGUCCGGAAUUAUUGGGCGUAAAGAGCUCGUAGGCGGUCUGUUACGUCGGCUGUGAAAACCUGGGGCUCAACCCCGGGCCUGCAUUCGAUACGGGCAGACUAGAGUUCGGUAGGGGAGUCUGGAAUUCCUGGUGUAGCGGUGAAAUGCGCAGAUAUCAGGAGGAACACCGGUGGCGAAGGCGGGACUCUGGGCCGAUACUGACGCUGAGGAGCGAAAGCGUGGGGAGCAAACAGG
rnacentral:rRNA from 1 species